UUUUUGAAUGAAAAUUUUUAUUUUAAUUCUAUAUAAUGAAUAAUUUUAUUUUCAUUCUAUAUAAAUUCCCACCUUAUAAUAAAUUUUUGCAUACAAAUUCUCCCUAUAGCACAUUUCCAACAGUCGCAAAUUAUCUAUAUAAUUUUUUACUUUCAGACAUAAUUAUCCCUAUUAUUAAGAUAAUUACGAUGACGUCUUUAUAAUUUGAUAUAAUUAAUUAAAAUAUCCUUAGAAUUUAAUUUUGUUACUCGGAUAGAAUUAAUGUUAUUUUUCAAUUUUUUCACCCUGAAUCAAUUAUUUUUCUUUUAAUCAUGGAA
rnacentral:lncRNA from 1 species